rnacentral:rRNA from 1 species
GAGUGAACGCUGGCGGUAGGCCUAACCCAUGCAAGUCGAACGGCAGCCCAGUAAGAGCUUGCUCUUACGGGUGGCGAGUGGCGGACGGGUGAGGAAUACAUCGGAAUCUACUUUUUCGUGGGGGAUAACGUAGGGAAACUUACGCUAAUACCGCGUACGACCUACGGGUGAAAGCAGGGGAUCUUCGGACCUUGCGCGAUUGAAUGAGCCGAUGUCGGAUUAGCUAGUUGGCGGGGUAAAGGCCCACCAAGGCGACGAUCCGUAGCUGGUCUGAGAGGAUGAUCAGCCACACUGGAACUGAGACACGGUCCAGACUCCUACGGGAGGCAGCAGUGGGGAAUAUUGGACAAUGGGCGCAAGCCUGAUCCAGCCAUACCGCGUGGGUGAAGAAGGCCUUCGGGUUGUAAAGCCCUUUUGUUGGGAAAGAAAAGCAGCAGGUUAAUACCCCGCUGUUCUGACGGUACCCAAAGAAUAAGCACCGGCUAACUUCGUG